CAUACUCCCUGUGAAAACAGGGAUCCUCAGGAGUUGCCAAUCCUAAAGAAGUCCCCUUGAAAGGACACUGAGCCUAGAGACAGCUGACACACUGAAUGACAGCAGUGUAUGAGGCGACUUGGCCCAAAAUGUCAACUUCACAGAGACAAGAAAUAUGGGGAAUCUGCCUUUGAGACAUAUGAAGAGUCAUCAGUUGAUGGAAGCAACAACCAAAAUGUACACAGAAAAAGAAAAGAGGUGCAAAGCUGGACAAGUGCUGAAAGUCAGGACUGACAUCAGAGCAAACACCAGUUGUGUAAUACUGACUGCCACACUGCUGUGCCCACAGAGGACCACAUGUCUUUGAAGAAACAAGAAAAGUUUCCUCCUGCUCUUCUAUCUCAUCAUACUCAGAAGAAACCAUAAACCCAAGUGCCUGCAAGGACCAGACAAGAGCCUUCCAAGUGUUUGAGACCUGUAUACACACCAUGGUAAAUGAAGAACCAGUUUCUUCUGUAUAGGGACAAGCAACUGUACCCCUGCCUACCCACUGCUGUGAAACAGAUGCCCAAGUUUCUGUUCGAGAGUCAUAGAGGGAAACUUUUGUGUAAAACUCUUCAUUUUAAAACAUUCUAGCUGGUGUGGUGGCGCACGCCUGUAAUCCCAGCAGCACU